rnacentral:rRNA from 1 species
UACGAAGGGAGCUAGCGUUGUUCGGAAUCACUGGGCGUAAAGCGCACGUAGGCGGAUUUGUCAGUCAGGGGUGAAAUCCCGGGGCUCAACCUCGGAACUGCCUUUGAUACAGCAAGUCUUGAGUUCGAGAGAGGUGGGUGGAAUUCCCAGUGUAGAGGUGAAAUUCGUAGAUAUUAGGAAGAACACCGGUGGCGAAGGCGGCCCACUGGCUCGAUACUGACGCUGAGGUGCGAAAGCGUGGGGAGCAAACAGG